UACGUAGGGUGCAAGCGUUAAUCGGAAUUACUGGGCGUAAAGCGUGCGCAGGCGGUUGUGCAAGACAGAUGUGAAAUCCCCGGGCUCAACCUGGGAACUGCAUUUGUGACUGCACGGCUAGAGUGUGUCAGAGGGGGGUAGAAUUCCACGUGUAGCAGUGAAAUGCGUAGAUAUGUGGAGGAAUGCCGAUGGCGAAGGCAGCCCCCUGGGAUAACACUGACGCUCAUGCACGAAAGCGUGGGGAGCAAACAGG
rnacentral:rRNA from 1 species